GACGAACGCUGGCGGCGUGCUUAACACAUGCAAGUCGAACGGAAAGGCCCUGCUUUUGUGGGGUGCUCGAGUGGCGAACGGGUGAGUAACACGUGAGUAACCUGCCCUUGACUUUGGGAUAACUUCAGGAAACUGGGGCUAAUACCGGAUAGGAGCUCCUGCUGCAUGGUGGGGGUUGGAAAGUUUCGGCGGUUGGGGAUGGACUCGCGGCUUAUCAGCUUGUUGGUGGGGUAGUGGCUUACGAAGGCUUUGACGGGUAGCCGGCCUGGGAGGGUGACCGGCCACAUUGGGACUGAGAUACGGCCCAGACUCCUACGGGAGGCAGCAGUGGGGAAUAUUGCACAAUGGGCGGAAGCCUGAUGCAGCAACGCCGCGUGCGGGAUGACGGCCUUCGGGUUGUAAACCGCUUUCGCCUGUGACGAAGCGUGAGUGACGGUAAUGGGUAAAGAAGCACCGGCUAACUACGUG
rnacentral:rRNA from 1 species